rnacentral:rRNA from 1 species
GACGUAGGGCGCGAGCGUUGUCCGGAUUUAUUGGGCGUAAAGAGCUCGUAGGCGGCUUGUUGCGUCGACUGUGAAAACCCGGGGCUCAACCCCGGGCCUGCAUUCGAUACGGGCAGACUAGAGUUCGGUAGGGGAGUCUGGAAUUCCUGGUGUAGCGGUGAAAUGCGCAGAUAUCAGGAGGAACACCGGUGGCGAAAGCGGCGUGCUGGACCUUUUCUGACGCUGAGGCGCGAAAGCUAGGGGAGCAAACGGG